UGGGGAAUAUUGGACAAUGGGCGAAAGCCUGAUCCAGCCAUGCCGCGUGUGUGAAGAAGGUCUUCGGAUUGUAAAGCACUUUAAGUUGGGAGGAAGGGCAUUAACCUAAUACGUUAGUGUUUUGACGUUACCGACAGAAUAAGCACCGGCUAACUCUGUGCCAGCAGCCGCGGUAAUACAGAGGGUGCAAGCGUUAAUCGGAAUUACUGGGCGUAAAGCGCGCGUAGGUGGUUUGUUAAGUUGGAUGUGAAAUCCCCGGGCUCAACCUGGGAACUGCAUUCAAAACUGACAAGCUAGAGUAUGGUAGAGGGUGGUGGAAUUUCCUGUGUAGCGGUGAAAUGCGUAGAUAUAGGAAGGAACACCAGUGGCGAAGGCGACCACCUGGACUGAUACUGACACUGAGGUGCGAAAGCGUGGGGAGCAAACA
rnacentral:rRNA from 1 species